AGCCCAUAAUGUGGUAUAAUGCCUCUGGGUAUUUUUUUAAAAUGUAAAUCAUUGAGAUAUUUAAGGUUUGAGGUUUAAGAACUGUGCACACACUUUAACUUCUUUUAAAAAUAUUUAGUGUGCAUAUUUACUACAUAUGUAUCUUAUAAGGUCUAGAGAUUAAACUGGAGAUUACUUGCUAAAAUAUGCAAACUGCUGUCCAUGAAUAAACAUCCUCAUGAACUGCUAUUGAAAGUUUCUUAUUUAAAAAAUGUUUAAAACUACAAUAAAAGUGAAGAGAAGUAAGAUGGGGGAAGGAAAAAGCAAUGUUUAGGUAACUGUAAUGGUUUAACUUGGCCACAGAAAAUAAAGACAUUUAUUUUUUUCUCCUGGGAUCUCAUCCAAAGCCCAUUGAGGUCAAAAGAAGGCUUUCCACCUAUUCCCAUGUGCACUGAAUCCAAUCUCUGCUCUGUUGCUCCAUUACUGGGGUAUGCUGAUGUGCUACAACAGCAGCCCACAUAACACACUGUAGCCCACCCAUAUGCCAUAUGCAUUACAUAGCUUUUGAGCUGACUAUCUCUAACUGCUCUAUUUUGAUCUCUGAAUGAGAAUGGUAUGUUUCAGAGACCCAAGCUAAAACAUAACUGCAAAACUACAUAAAGUCAAUGAUUCCAUUUCUAAACCUCCAAAUGACUGUUCUGAUUACUCAUGCAAACCUGUAUUUUUGCCAGGUUUCCUUAAGAGUUUAGUACAAGUAAAAUUAAUAAGAGCAUAUUUUCAUACUGCACAUGCCAAUAUGAUAAAAUGAUUGUCGCCAUAUACAGAUACAAACCUGCUUCUUUGGUUUCAGCUUUCUUGGCUGUGUUUGAUUGUAAUUGAAUAUAAAUGUUAGAAGAACCCAGCUAAGAUUCCAACUAAAAGGAAAUUCAGUGACAGCCAUGAAAAAAAAAAAAAAAAAAAAAGAAAACUAUUUAUUUUCCCCUGGAGUGUUUAGCUUUUAUUAAAUGUCAACAAAUCUAAAAACAUGCUUUGCUAAUCUACGGUGUGUAUGGGAAAUAAGUCACAGGCACAAGUUACUGAAGAUAAUGUUUGUUUUGUUUAAGAUAAACAGGAUUCAGAGAACUGAAAUCUCUCACAAGCAUUUAAAACCUCCCCCUUGUUUUCCUUUAACGUUUGUCAGAUCUCCCACUGGUGAUCAAAGAAUGCCAAGCUGUGGUAUAGCAUGGGGUCUGAAAGCAGACCUACAUUUGUGAUUGUUUGCUACCCUCUGUGAUAAGUUUAUCCAUCAGUUUCUUUCCUGUUGACUUUCAUGUGUGCUAUUAACCCAGGAUGUUAUAUCUUCUCAAAGAGAAAAUGGAAUUACAAGAGGAAGAUGACGCUGCCUUGAAAGUCUGCUGCUGUGCUGCCCAUUGGAGACUUGCCUUGGGCAUGAGGACCACAGCCACAAAAACAGCCUGGUGCUGGGAGCCCCACUUUGCUGUGGCAUAAGCUGGGUUCCUGCUGACCUCACAUCUGUCUUUGCAUGGGUUUUGCUGAGGCUGAGAUGUUAAAGUGGAAGUAAAUGUUGUACGUAAGAGAAACAUGUCAGUCAUAAAGGAGAGUGCACAGCAAACGUGCUUCAUCUGGCACAGUAUUUCAUAGGGUUAAGGGGGGUGAUGAGAUUGUAGGGCUAUGCGGGUCAGUUUAGUCUCACCCAAGGGAUCCUAGGUUUGGUUAAAUAUCGUGAAGAGGAGUGCUAAGUCUUUAUACACCUGGUUUGGCUUAGAAAGUGAUUGACAGAACAAACUAUUGCUAGGAUUUGGCAUUGCAGCCUAUACGCCUAGGAUGGAAGUGCUAAGACAACCAAAUGAGGAGGGUAGAACUGUGGACCAACCUUGUUGCAGUGUGGUCUCUUCUGUACAUUAGCAGUCAUCACCGGUUUCUCAUGGAAUAAUGUUUUGGCCAGGUAAAUGUAAGGUUUGUGUUUGGUCUCCAGUCAGAUGGUACCCAAAAAUAAGUAUCAUAUGACACCCAUCUCUUAUUAAAAAGCCGAGCAGAAGAAAGCACAGAUGCAAAGUAGUUUGGGCACCAUAAACAAACCACCACCAGAAAAGCCAGGUAUGUAUCAGAUCGUCUUUUUAGAGAACAUUUUUUCUCAGGCGUAAUGAGGUGGGAAGAGAGCCAUUGGUAGAAGAUUUUCCCUUACUUCAAUGCCUCCUUUAUUAUUUUCAUUAAAUUUCCUUUCACUCCUGCUAAUACACAGAACAAUAAAAUAAAGCAAUUUGAAAGUUCACAGUAUGCAAGAUUCAUCUUGCAUCCACAGAAUUUGUGUAACUCAUUUUAAAUUGAUGUUUGCUUGUUUAAGAAUGCACACCUGCAUGUUACCACUUGUGGUAAAUAAGUUUAUUAGCCAAGGAAUGUCUAAAUACUUUCUGGAAAUCCCAUGUAAAUGCAGUUAUGUUUUCUGUUAAGAUCCCCCCUUGGUAAAAAAAUAAAAAUAAAAAUAAAAAAUAAUCUAUCCCACUGCCAUACUCCAGAAGGUAGGAAAAAAAGCAGUAAACGAUGUACAAACAUGCAGGAAAGAUGCAGGUGAAGGGUUUCACAGAGAUUAAAAACGUCAUACUCCUGAUGAUUCAGUGCAUCUUUCCAUGUAGAAUUUUAACAUUCUGUUUCAUAUUAUAUUUAUGUCAGAUCAAAUGCUCCAGUCAGAGACUGAGACUUUAUUAGUGCCUCAUUUGUAUUUGUUUUUACUUUGAAUUAAAACCUAAAGGUGGUGACAGAAUAAAUUCUUAUGCUUAGCAUCCGAUUAAUAAUUGAGAGCCACUCAACUUUACUAAUCAUCCAUUUGAAGAGAAUUUCCUUAUACGAACAGAUUGUUCCACUUAGGACAAUUUUUUUUUUUUUUUUUUUUUUUUUUUUUUAAGAGCAGAAGGGUGGAAAGAAAGUGAAGGGAGGCCAGGGAGCAAAGGGAGAAGGAGCAAAGUGGGAAGCUUUGAUCAUUUCACCAAGGGGCUGAGGCAGUUCAAAAUGAAAGAAUCUCUCACCACCUUUAAAAAAAAA